UGCGCAGAAAAACCAACUCAAAAAAACAAUGAAUCGAGCGAAGGAUGUAAACAAGCCGAAAAGCUAAAGCUCCGAACCUCCGCACGCUCAGGCAAAAAACGCUCAUACAUGUCAGGACCCUCCAGCCAAAAAGAUUCUUCCACCUCCUCGCCAAAAAUGCGGAGGAUAGGAUACAACAACUGUAUCAACACAUCAAACCGAGUCACAUAAAAGGAAAUAGCCUACGACAAACAAAAAACAAAAUAAAAACCACCACCUAAGCCGGAGGCCAUGAACCUCGGUGCGCAAGCGACCGGACGAAUUCAGAUCGUUCGUCAUCUAGGUCAUAUCCAACAAACUCAAACAUAUCUACCACUCUCAUGUUAGGGAAGGCAAUCCGCCAGUACUCCCACAACUCGCCAGAAGCAUAAAUCCCUUUGUAGAAAAUCGAAAGGGGAGUAAUGCAAUGAUCCUGCGCAGGUCCUCCGCCAGAGACCUGCGCAGGAUCAAAGUGUAAAACAAAGGCUUAUCCGAAAACAACUCAAUAUAUUACAUUUUCAACAGUCUUUACAAGUUAAUCAAAACCUCCGACAUUUCUUACAAAAAAGCGUCGCAUGUGCAGCAGACGCAAAAAACUAACAAAACCUACAAACUAAAUAACCUCACACCUGAGGCGGAGGAGGAGCACAAGUCUCGGGCUGCGCUGAAGCUUUGGCGCCAGAUUCCUCCGGAGCCUUAGCACCUGCGUCACGAACCUCCGCUUCAGC
rnacentral:lncRNA from 1 species